rnacentral:rRNA from 1 species
UACAGAGGGUGCAAGCGUUGUUCGGAAUUAUUGGGCGUAAAGCGCGUGUAGGCGGCUUGGCAAGUCGGGUGUGAAAUCCCUCAGCUUAACUGAGGAAGUGCGCCCGAAACUGCCGAGCUUGAGUACCGGAGAGGGUGGCGGAAUUCCCCAAGUAGAGGUGAAAUUCGUAGAUAUGGGGAGGAACACCGGUGGCGAAGGCGGCCACCUGGACGGAUACUGACGCUGAGGUGCGAAAGCGUGGGGAGCAAACAGG